GACACAUAAAGAUUUCAUGAUUCAAAUUACGCUUUCAUUAACCUUUAGCAUAGGAAGUCUUUUAGUUUCUAUAAAUCUUCUAGUGGCUUACCGUCUGUCCUACUGAUGUGAAUAAUAGAUGUUUGGGGAAAUCGCUCUUUAAAAACCUAGGGUAUUUAAUUUACGAGAGCUAAAUACAUAUUUCAGACUCACUUAGCAAGAACUUUAAUUACUUCUUGUUGCUUUUUCUAACUGGGAAGCCACCCCCUCCCCCCAAUCAGGUUUCUUCUGCUUGACUCAGAUGUUUUAGAGAUGGUAAAAGCUUUCAAGUCUAAGUCCCGGUCUUUAAUACUCAUUAGUUCUUUUAAGCUAAGUAAUGUCCUAAAGAGAGUUAAGGGGAUGUCUCAGGUGUGGACCAUUACGCAAUUAAAUUAGCCAAACUCGGAGAGAUUGGAUUAGAACUCAGCAGGGAACACCUGGGUUUCUGCAGGGCGGGGCUCUCGCCAGGAAGAGCGAGGGUCUCCCGCUUGGUAGUCUCAGUCACAGACUUGUCUUACCAGAUCAAGUGUUGCAGGCUAAGCUAUUUUUCUCUGGGAGUAGGUUUCUGUGGCUGUCAGAGUGAACAGGAAAAGCAUCUGUGAAUGUGCCAAGCCAAGGGAAACCAGGAGUUGGAGGACUCGUGGCUUUUCACAUACAAAGGCAUCCGCCCAUCCCUCCUUGCGAGCCAGCCAAGGGUGGACAAGUGCAUGCGGAGGCUGCUGCCCAGGUGCAAGGGGUGGGGGCGGGGCGGGCUGCAGAAUGCCCCAGAACAAAGGCGCCUCCAGGGGCCUGUGCAGAGGUCACCUGCUGCCUCCAGGACAGAUUAAGGAGGACUGGAGAGGGCAUUUGGAGGAAAUGGUGCUGUUCUUCUUUGGGAAAUCAAUUCGUCCCACCCUUAAUGGGGCAUUUCGCCCUCCCUCUUUGGGAGUCCCAAGCAAAUGUGCUUCCAGGUCUCUCAAAAUCGGUUCUUAACCGGCCUCUGUUUGAAGAGGCGGCACCUUGCGCGGCCUGUGCUCCCUCAAUAGCCGGUGCCCCCUGAAAAUCUCUUUCUGCUCUCUGCAACGUCUCACUUCCCUUUUCUCCCUCCUCGGGGCUCUCCCGCCCCUCCCUACCCAGGCUUCUUUCAUAAUUAGGCUGGAAGUGGAACUUUCCCCCACUCCCUUACUUUGAGAUUUCUUUUUUCCCAGUGACCUGGGCUGCACUUUGCCCCCACUCCCUGCCUGCCAAUCUCUUCGGGGUUAGGGCCUCUCUCUUUCCAUUCUUGCAGGCUCCCCCUCCUUGAGAGCCCCGGGAGGCCCAGCCUCCCAGAAUCCGAUCUCCUUCCAACGCUGCAGCCCCCCUGCGGAGGAAGGAAGAGGCCUCCUCAGAAUGAAUGGCUGAUUUCUGAAUGCCGGAGCGAGAGAAGUUUGCAGAAAGUGGAGACUCCAGGCAGGAGCCUCCUAUGACGUCAUGGUCCUCGUGAUGGAAAAUGGCAAUAGGUGAAGAUAUGGUUGGUCAACCUAAAAGUGUGAACCUACUGCUUUAGGAAUGCAAGCGCUUUGCCCCAAUUACCUGCCUCACCCUGCCUGGAAGGCCAGGCUGUGUGGAGGCGUGGAGGACAAACCACGGACGGAACCUCCACACGCUCCACUUCCAGCUUCGUCAUCUGCAAGUUCACGGGCAUUGGGAACAGGGGCUUUCAUUUUCUAAUGCCUUCUUGGCCCCCCAGAUUGGCCCUGCCUGAUGUCUUCUCAUACUCUAGAAAGGGAGGAGGCAGUGGCUAGACAGGAUGGGGCUGUAGGACAAGAAGCCCAUUUCUGUUCUUUUUGUGGAUAUAACCUCCAGGAUAUUACACUUCAUCCUGUUUUUCUAGGCAUCCAGCACUCU
ensembl:lncRNA